GGCUCAGGAUGAACGCUGGCGGCGUGCUUAACACAUGCAAGUCGAACGAUGAACCUCACUUGUGGGGGGAUUAGUGGCGAACGGGUGAGUAACACGUGAGUAACCUGCCCUUGACUCUGGGAUAAGCCUGGGAAACCGGGUCUAAUACUGGAUACGACCUUCUGGCGCAUGCCAUGUUGGUGGAAAGCUUUUGUGGUUUUGGAUGGACUCGCGGCCUAUCAGCUUGUUGGUGGGGUAAUGGCCUACCAAGGCGACGACGGGUAGCCGGCCUGAGAGGGUGACCGGCCACACUGGGACUGAGACACGGCCCAGACUCCUACGGGAGGCAGCAGUGGGGAAUAUUGCACAAUGGGCGCAAGCCUGAUGCAGCGACGCCGCGUGAGGGAUGAAGGCCUUCGGGUUGUAAACCUCUUUCAGUAGGGAAGAAGCCGGCC
rnacentral:rRNA from 1 species